ensembl:lncRNA MIR100HG mir-100-let-7a-2-mir-125b-1 cluster host gene
GAGGUUUUUUCAGUGGGAUUAUUUGUGUCCCUGUGGCUCUUCAGGGAGCUUGCAGAAUUCUAGCUAAAGAUAAGAAGGGCAUCGCUUCAAAUGGGAGGCCAAUCAAUGCAGCAUUAGGAAGGCUUCAUUCAGCUCAGCACCACCUUGGCGACUCAGAACCAAAACCAGCAUGCUUUUUAUAAUUUCACCAUGGAUGCACUAGCCAUCUCCAAAGAGCAGCAAAAAAGCAGUGCUCACAAGAUCCAGAGCCACUCCAAAGAAAGCUGGAAGAAAAAAGAGACUUGGAGAUGAACAGGAAAACAAUAGCUGUCCACAGAAGGGAAAAGGAUCAAUAACAAAUGAAUAUCUUAAAAAGUUGAGUCACACAAAUAUAAAUUCAAAACAAAUAAUUCAAACUAAUUCUUGUAGAUGUUUCUUUUUUUUUUCUCCUGAGUUAAAGGAUUUACAUCCCAAAGGAACUGACUCUCUGACUGGAAAUUAAACUCAUGCCUCAGCAGUGAAUGUGUGGAAUCCUUGACACUAGACUGCAGGCUGGAUACCCUUCCUUGAAGAUCCUGUGGGGGAUCCAAAGCAGGCAGUUUGAAUGUACGAAGGAUUUUAACUUAGUUUUAACUCUGAUUUCUGCUUUUUUCAAAUCCUGCCAAGGAAGUUUUUAAGGCUAUAUUUCUUUCAUAGGUACUGAUAAGAUAGCUGUUUAGGACAAGAGCUCUCUUAAGAGUUCUCUUUUAAAUCUAGCCAAUUUAUUUAUUCCAUCAGUGACUCAAGCCAAUAAGCCUUUUCCAUGGAAAGUCCCAUGGGUAAUUUUCCAGGUUUACAAUACCAUGGUCAUAAGUGGCAUUUUAAAAAUGGAUGCAAAAGUUGCACCUCCCCAGUGAUACCCGUCUCACAAAUUUAGUCCCAGAAAUAAACUAAGAUAGCAAAA